CCAGCCCACCCCCCACCACUCCAGGAGCAGACAAUCAAGGGCACUCAAGCGAAGGGCAACGACAGACCAGGACUGCACCACUUGUUUGCACCCAAGAUCAAAAUGCUACCGACACCUUUGAGGAUAUCCCUCCUGGUUACUCGAGUCCACAAUACAUUACCAUGAAAUCAGCUAAUAAGGAAACCAGAAGAAUUCCAGCCUACAACCAAAAUGUCAGAAUUCCACCUGCAAAGCCAAGGAUUCCCCCACCACCAAUCCCUACCAUGAUACCACCUUUCUCUCCAAAGGGGGUGAAAUUAGAAGCCCAAAACAGUCCUACCAGGCUAAGUUGAAUAUUCUGGUUGCAUGAGAGACCUUCAGGACCUACAAAAGCUACAUAUUAUUGAGUUUCUGACCAUUAUCUGAAUGUUAUAUUAUGGAUUCAACAAAUUGUUUUUUAAGAACACCACAUUGUUUGAAACCCACUCUUCAAAGUACAUUCUGAUAACUUCUUAUGAGAUUGGCUACUAUUUGAGCAAAUAGUCUCUGGAGCCUAUCACAUUAAAACAAUUGGUUGGAAGGAUAUUUAAGAUGGAAGGAUAGAAUACUUCCUGACUCAUAUGGGAGCCAAGAAACUUCCUUUCAUCUGAAUAUUGUUCUUUGAAUACAACUAGCCCCAUACUAGUGAGAAAAGUGAUAGGAUGGCCAAGACACUCAGGCCAGUUAGGUCAAUUCUGCCAGUUAUCAAUUUCUCUUCAUUCAUUAGAAAACAAAUAUACUACUGUCAUAAUUUGCCUUGUUUUAUUCAAUAGGAGCUUUAGGUAGCAGUCACACCUCCCAGAAAGUCACCAGAAGAGAUUGGUGGGAACCAAUACUAUUAAACAGCUAGUUAGAUAUGCCAUGUUCAGAACUAGUAUAGCCACAGACCCUCAGAAUUAAAAGGAACUUCAAAGGUCAUCUAAGCCAACUAUCACCAAAAAACUCCUGUAUGUUUUGUUGCCAAGUUGACCCUCUAGUUUCUACAUGAAAAAAAGCCUAUGAUAAGGAAUUCCCUAUUUACUUAAGUAGCUUAUUCUGUUUUUAGGAAGAUGUCAUUUUAAAGAAGCUGUUUGCUUGUUUUUCUGUCUUUCUAAUAUGAAAUGAAAAUCUGCCUUUCUUAUCUUCCCAGCUCAUCACUUUCUAGAUCUCCUAUCCAGAACUAUGCAAAAUAAUUCCAAUUUAUCUUUCAUAAGAUAGCAUUCUAAAUAUUAAUCAAUAAGUAUACAUUUAUUAAGUUCCUACUAUAGUCCAGGCACUAUGUUUAGCUCUGGGGAUACAUAAAGAGGCAAAAAAUGGUCCCUGCCCUCAAGGAGCUAACAGUCUAUUAAUUCAACAGAUUUUUAAUAUAUUAAAUACAGUUAUCAGAUCAGGAUAGCAUAAGAAACUUAUGGCAGUACUCUUCCUCUUAUCCUUAUGAAAAUAUGAAGAAGUGACUGUUUCACAGUACUGGAGUUAGUUGGACUUCAUGCUGGUUGAAUGAUUCCAUUCAGAAAGUAGUCAUUAAUGGAUCAUUAUAAGUUUGGAGUAGAUUACUCCCAUACUCUCUAUAUUGAUUAAGCAAAGGCAUAGUACCUUUUUGACAUGAUAAAUUUUCAAAUAAUACAAAGUUGGGAGGAAUAGAAACACACUGGAAGAUGGCAUCAGUAUCUAAAACAAACCAGAAAGGCUAGAGGAGUUGUUGUUCUUAUUGUGCUUCAGUUGUUUCAGAUGUGUCCAAUUCUGAGACCCUAUUUGGUGUUUUCUUGGCAAAGAUACUGGAUUGGUUUACCAUUUCCUUUGACAGCUCAUUUUUCAGGUAAGAAACCUGAAACAAACAAGGUUAAGAAACUUGACCAGGGUCACAUAGCUAGUAAGUGUCUGAUGCCAGAUUUGAACUUAGGAAGAUGAGUCUUCUUGACUCUAGACAUAGCACUCUAUCUACUAAACCACCUAGUUGUCCUACAGGAAUGCACCCAGGCAAAUAACUAAAAUUUAAAAAAGAUUAAAGGUCUACUUGGGUUCAAAAAGGCAAUGCUACAAAGAGAAGAUGAAGGUUUGGUUAGAAAACAUUCUAUUAAUGCUGAUUUCAAGCUCAGCAUUAGUCAGCUUCUCCAAAAAGAAAUAAAAUCUUGGGUCUCAUUAAGAGAUGCAAAUGCCUGGAGUCAUAGUCUCAUUGUGCUUUGUCCUCACCAGACCAUACUUGAAAUACUCUAUUCAUUUAUGAGUGAUAUGUUUUAGAAAGGAAAAAAAAAGAAAAAAAAAUAGAGAGCAUCCAGAACAAAAAAUCUCUUAAAUUCAUGACAUAUGGAGGUAGUUUAGUCAGGAAAAGAGAAGUCUUAGGAGACAUUAGUGACAAAUUUGAGGAAUGAUAACAUUUCUAUAGUGCUUUUAAGAUUGUAUCCUAACUUUUGGAAUAUGAACUUAAUAUUUAACAAAAAUUGCUGAGAAAAUUGGAACACUAUGGCAGAAGCUCGUAUAGACCAAUAUCUCACACUCUAUACCAAGAUAAGGUCAAAAUGGAUAUAUGAUUUAAAUAUAAAGAGUGAUACCAUCACUAAAUUAGGAGAACACAGAAUAGUUUACUUGGUAAAUCUUUGGAGAAGGAAAGAAUGUAUGACCAAAAAAGAGAUGGAGAAUAAGAUGCUAAAUGAAUAGCUUUUAUUUUAUCAAAUUAAAAAGCUUUUGUGCAAAUAAAAAUGAUGCAAUCAAUAUCAUAAGGGAAAUAACCAACUGGGGAAAAUUAUUACAAUUUUUCCUAUAAAGGAUUACUUUCUAUAAUGUAUAGAGAACUAAGUCAAAUUUAGGAGAAUAUAAACUAUUCUCCAAUUGACAAAUGGUUAAAGAAUAUAAACAAGCAAUUUUCAGAUGAAGAAAUCAAGAACAUCAAUAAUCAUAUAAAAUGUUCUAAAUAUAAAAUGUUCUAAAUCACUCUUGAUUAGAGAAAUGCAAAUUAAAACAACUUUGAGGUACCACCACAUACCUAUCAGAUUGGCCAAUAUAACAGUUAAGGAAAAUAGUAUAUGUUGGAGAGGAUGUGGCAAAAUUUGGACAUUAAUGCAUUAUUGGUGGAGUUGUGGGCUGAUCUGACCAUUCUGGAGGGCAAUUUGGAACUGUGCCCAAAGGGCUAUAAAACUGUGCAUACCCUUUGAUCUGGCAAUACCAGUAUUGGGUUUGUAUACCAAACAGAUAAUAAAAAAGGGGGAAAGGACUUACUAGUAUAAAACUACUUAUGGCACCUCUUUUGUAGUGGUAAAGAAGUAGAAAUUGAGGGGAUGUCCAUCAUUUGGGGAAUGGUUGAACAAAUUGUGGGAUAUGUUGGUGAUGGAAUACUAUUAUGUUAUAAGAGAUGAUAAAAUGAUUUCAGAAAAUGCUGGAAAGAUCUGUGGGAACUGAUGUAGGGGAAAUGAGCAGAAUUGAGAGAACACUAUACAUAUAACAGCAAUAUUGUAUGAUGAUUAUCUAUGAAAAUGUGACUACUCAGCAAUGCAGCAAUCUGGGAUGAUCCUGAAAGAUUUAUGAGGGAGAAUGCUAUCCACCUCCAUAGAAAGAAUUAUUGGAAUCAUCUUUCACAUAUAUUUAUGGGUUUGGGGGUGUUUUUGUUAUGUAUGAGUGUGUUCUUACAA